GGGUAAUAAAUAUAUUCAACCAUGACAGGUGCAUUCUGUGCUGAGGUAUAUUGCCAUAGAUCGCUUAAAGAAUUUUAGAUUGAAUGAAGAUUUGACUGUGUCCCUGAGGUUAUUCCAUAAUUGUGGUGCUCCUAGGAAAAGGAGGAUCGAGCCACUUUAUUUUUGUAUUGCGGUAUGCUAAAUAUCGUGCUAGUACUGGAUCGGAGGUUAUAGGAGGUGGGAACAGCCGGGGAGAGCAUUCUACUCAGGUAGGGUGGGAAGGAUUUGGCUGAAGGAUCCUGUAAUAUAAAGUAGGGAUGAGUUUUUUAGCAUUGUUUCACAUGUACUUAAUAAAAAAAAAAAAAAAAAAGUCCUUUCCAAACUUGAUCAGAGGAAUAUAAUAUUUAAAAAUAUUUUGAGGUGACAGUUGUCCUUUAAGUCCAUGUUAGGUUUAGGUUUUGAUGCCAUAGUUUUCUCCACAUUCUAAUCUCUUCUGUUUUUUUUUUUUUUUUUUUUAAAAAGAAGAAAAUAGUGGCCCAUUUUCCCAACAUGUCU